AGUUUGAUAGUCUAAAUUAGGAUGCGAGUUUUGGGGAUUUGUGGUCUCUGGGGAGUCAAUUG
rnacentral:tRNA from 1 species